rnacentral:sRNA from 1 species
AUGGACCACGCAUACGCUCCGCUUACUCCGCGGCACCCACCUGACGACUGCUCGAUACGUUUUGUCAGCC